UACGUAGGUGGCGAGCGUUGUCCGGAUUUAUUGGGCGUAAAGAGCCCGCAGGCGGCCUGGCAAGUUUCCGGUGAAAUCUCCCGGCUCAACUGGGAGGGGUCCGGGAAAACUGCCAGGCUUGAGUCAUGGAGAGGGAUGCGGAAUUCCCGGUGUAGCGGUGAAAUGCGUAGAUACCGGGAGGAACACCAGUGGCGAAGGCGGCAUCCUGGCCAUGUACUGACGCUCAGGGGCGAAAGCGUGGGGAGCAAACCGG
rnacentral:rRNA from 1 species